CUUUAUAAAAAUUUCUGAUUGGAGCACCAUGAUCACUGAUGUGCUAGCAUCUUGUAGAUCUCACUUCUCAUCCUUGGAUCUAGAUCUCUUCUUCUAGAUCUUGAAGAAGGAGAUCGCUGUGCGAACUCUUUCGUACAGAUCCGAUGGGAUCUGAAUUAGAUCACUAUGAAGAGAAAAAAAAUCUUUCUUCUUCUCUUCUUCUCUCUCUUUUUCUCUCUUAGAUCUAAUCUCUAUUAGAUUUGGGCAUUGGAUGAAGGGGAGAAGGGAGGAGGA
rnacentral:lncRNA from 1 species